rnacentral:rRNA from 1 species
GACAGGUGCUGCAUGGCUGUCGUCAGCUCGUGUCGUGAGAUGUUGGGUUAAGUCCCGCAACGAGCGCAACCCUUGUCUUUAGUUGCCAUCAUUUAGUUGGGCACUCUAAAGAGACUGCCGGUGUCAAACCGGAGGAAGGUGGGGGAUGACGUCAAGUCCUCAUGGCCUUUAUGACCAGGGCUACACACGUACUACAAUGGCCGGUACAAAGGGCAGCCACUUAGCGAUAAGGAGCCAAUCCCGUAAAGCCGGUCUCAGUCCGGAUUGGAGUCUGCAACUCGACUCCAUGAAGUUGGAAUCGCUAGUAAUCGCAGAUCAGCACGCUGCGGUGAAUACGUUCCCGGGCCUU